AGGCUCGAAGGACCGUUACCUGGCGUGUGUUUCAGUAUUUCUCGUUCAAACUCUCUCGUGGAUGCCCUCAGCGCCGCGUCCUCCACACCCGGAGUCCCGGGCCCCUCGACCGCUACCGUCCCCGCCCGCGGGGAGCCCCGCCUAGUCGGGGGGAGCUCUGCUGCCGGGGCCGGACCUGAAUCUGUUCCGGUAAAAUCGCUGCGCGGCUGGUCCUCGCCCGACCUUUCUGCCCCGGUUCUCACCGUCUUCGCUCCCCACCCCGCGCCUUGUCAGGUCCCUCUCGGGAAUCUGGCCUCCUGGGAAGAAGGCCAGACUCAGGGACCAUGCCCUGCCCACUAGCCCUGCAAAGCUCCACCUGCUCUGAACAGUAAGACUAGAGCACUUUCUCAGCCCUGCGCUGCGCUUUCUGCCACUGCCCCACCCUACAGCCUAGAGAUCUGAUUGAAAGUACUCUCCUCCCUGCUGGGUGACUCACAGAGGAAAAUAAGAAGAAACAGUGCCCAGAAUCCAGCUAUCACGCCACCCACCCACCCACAGACAUUUAAAUAACCCUCUGGAUCCUCAGUCCCCUCAACUCACCCUAGAAGGUUCCAGUUCCUCAUCAGAGUGCAUGCAUACAACGGGCAGAGAGCAAAGCUCGAGAACCACCCUGGCACUACUUGCCUCUGUGAUGCUGAAGACAUUCUCCUUCCUGUGUGUUACAGAGAAGAUUCACAUUUCCAGAGUUUGUAAGCUUUGGAAGAUGCUAGUUGAACAUUCUGCACUAUGGAGAUGUGUACCUGACACCUUACAAGGUUGAACGCAGUUGAUUUUUGUCCUUUGAUCAUUGGAAUGCUUGGGUGUUGCAGGGAGAGGCCCCAGUUGUCAGGCAUCUCUUCCAGAGACACGUGAGAGCAGGGUUCCAGUCACUGAGUGUGGGGCUCUACAUGAUCUGAAGCAUAAAGCCUUCUGAAAUCAUUCCAGCUUUAAUUAAGGAAGCUGGGAAGAGGUACCCUCACCAAACUGAACUCUAGUCGCAUGUUCUAUACUUGAGGAAAUUCCCGAUCACCAAACUUGCCCAGUCCUCACAAGUGUGGAACUGUACAACUGUGAAAUUUCAGAGUCACGGAUCUUCAAGGAAAGUGACUUCUCUCCACUGCUUUUCUAACACAACCUUGUCCUGGACCCUCUUCUUACCUUCCAAGGCAGGCAGAUGAUGAACUUGCCCAGGCUGCAGGCUCUGUGUUUCCUGGAGUUGGUGGACAUUCCCCUCGUGCCUGACUAGGGGCUCAUGAUGGCUCUCUCUGAAGUUGAUUGACUCCACAGCCUAAAACUGGUGAACUCCUUCUCGUCAGGUGGAUUCCUGCAGGCAGUAGCCCAGCAUCUUCAGAAGCUCAGUAUGAGAGUGGGCUCAACCACCAAAGUAUUGUCUCAACUAGAAAGGAUGGAUUCCCUGCUAUAACUGGAACUAAAAUAUUCCUCCCAGCACUGAAGACUUCCUCUCUGCUUCUAACAUCCUCUCUGUUGGCCUCAGAAUGCCAGAUUCCAAGUCCUGCAGCUCCUGGAAGUCCACACCUCAGGCCAGGGGAGGGAGGAUGCCGGGGCUCUUCUGCAGGAGGCGCUGCUACGCUGUGCGGUCACUUUCAAUUCCAGGCCACACUCGCCUGCCAGGUGGUGGAAGCGACGCCCCCGUGUAACUCAGGCCUAUCCUCACCGCCCUCACCUGCACACCGAACCAUGAGAGGACAUAACUCACAUGAAACUGUGGUCAGGGAACAGACUUUUGAGCCAGAUACACGUAAGCGUGAAACGUAGUUCAACCAAUUAUAUGCUGUGUAGUUUUUGUUAAGUCACAUGAAUCCUUUCCAGGUCGGUUUCAUGAAAGGAAAAGUGACAAUAAUAAUGGCAAAUGAGGGAAUUCCCUGGCGGUCCAGUGGUUAGGACUCUGCACUCUCACUGCCAAGGGUCCAAGUUCGGUCCCUGGUCGGGGAACUGAGAUCCCACAAGCCGCACGUGCCAUGGCCAGAAGAAAAGAAAAAAUAAUAAUAAUAAUGGCAAAUGAAUAAAUGGCAAGAUUAUAAGAAUACUCCUGUUACCUAAUAUGUGAUCAAUAUUGAUGACAUGUUUGGGUAAAGGGCUUCUUAGAUCUUCCAUAAGAGUUAUCCAUAGACUUUGUUGUCUGUACUUUCUGCUCAGUUUGCUUGGAACCUAAAACAACUCUAAAAAAAUAAAGC